AUUGAACGCUGGCGGCAGGCCUAACACAUGCAAGUCGAGCGAGCGGCGGACGGGUGAGUAAUGUCUGGGGAACUGCCUGAUAGAGGGGGAUAACUACUGGAAACGGUAGCUAAUACCGCAUACUAUCGGAUGUACCCAGAUGGGAUUAGCUAGUAGGUGGGGUAACGGCUCACCUAGGCGACGAUCCCUAGCUGGUCUGAGAGGAUGACCAGCCACACGGGAACUGAGACACGGCCCAGACUCCUACGGGAGGCAGCAGUGGGGAAUAUUGCACAAUGGGCGCAAGCCUGAUGCAGCCAUGCCGCGUGUGUGAAGAAGGCCCUAGGGUUGUAAAGUACUUUCAGUGGGGAGGCGUUACCGGCAGAAGAAGCACCGGCUAACUCCGUGCCAGCAGCCGCGGUAAUUC
rnacentral:rRNA from 1 species